UUCGUGCUUAUUUUAGAAUUAAAGAGUAGAUAACAAUUACUGGAGUUCUUAACAAAAAAUGAACUUGGGGCCUAAACUUGUUAUUAUAUAUAUAUAUAUAUAACUUGUCUCAAGAUUUUCUCAUUGGUGUGGCAAGCCUGUUGUUUAUCUUUCUCUAAGGUGUUUGAAGACCCAUGUCUUCUUAUUGAUCUUACUUAGUCUUGGAGAAAAACAUUGAUUAGGAAGUUGUUUUUAGACAGAUUCUGUAAUUUUUGAAUCUGUUGUUGUUGGCAGUUGGGCAUGGCUAUAGUUUAGUUUCAAUAGUGAGAACAUAAUUUGUCUUUUGUUUUUGUAGGAGUAUUGCUUCCUAUGUCUUGGUCCACUAGAAUGAAAAUUGCAUUUGGAGUUGCAAAAGGACUUGCCUUUCUCCAUGAAGCUGAGAAACCUGUCAUCUAUCGUGAUUUUAAGACGUCUAAUAUUCUGUUAGACUUGGUUAGUAUACGAACUGAAUAAUUGUUGAAGAAAUGAAAUCAAGUAAUUAUUUGGCUUCCCUUUGUUUCAUAUCAUAGAAAAAUACACCAGAGGUUGUUGCGAACUGGUUAACAACAGAGGCUGGAAUGCGUUGCACUUUGCGGUGGAGGGCGAUGCUUGUACAGUGAGUAUUAUCCUUAAACUUUCAUCUCUCAGCAAUCUUUUGAAAGAGAAGAACGCCGAAGGGAACACUUCUCUCCAUCACCAAUAUUCCCGCUAUUCCGAGGACGUGAAUGGGGCUCUCAUGGAUCACCCCAGAGUAGAUAAAAUGGGUUUCAACAAAAAUAACCUCAAUGCUUAUCAAGUCGCUUUAACUAGUGCAAAGUUAUCGCCAAAAAAGGGUAUUCCUCAAGGAGCACGAAAACAAUGUCACCCUGGAUGACAUUAUGAAGGACGAGGUGAAGUGGUGGCAGGUAAGGAGGAAAUAAUUUUUGGAGAAAGCAGUCGAAACACACUUGUUAGUGGAUGCCCUCAUGACAACCUUGACCUUUGCCGCAGCUAUAACCAUGCCUAGUGGUUUUGUUGGUACUAGAGGUGACCCACAUUAUGAAGGCUCUGCAGUUUUGAGGAGAAAUGCUACUUUUAAAGCAUUCAUUAUCAUAGAUGCCAUAUCCUUGGUGCUAUCUAGUUCUAUUGUUGUUACCCAUCUACUUAUGCCACUUUUGUUGAUCAAACAUUCUGAAUCUGAUGAAACUCGCUACGAUUUUCUCAGCCUAACCUUCAAGUUUAUUUUGAUGGCCAUGGGAGCAAUGGUGCUGGCAUUUAUCACAGGUAUAUAUGCUAUGUUAGUGAAUUCCUUAGAUCUUCUGGUCACCACUUGUGUUAUUGGCUAAUGUUUUUUCCUCAUUCUCUAUAUUAUAUAUGAAUUGUAUAAGAAGAAUAUAGGUUUCUCCAGGAUAUAUUCAAGUUUAUAUUACUUUU